rnacentral:piRNA from 1 species
UGACCAUUGUUGGGAGUUGGACUGCA